rnacentral:rRNA from 1 species
GAUGAACGCUGGCGGCGUGCUUAAUACAUGCAAGUCGAACGGACAGGCGAUGAGCUUGUUGGUCGGACGAGUGGCGCACGGGGGAGUGUAACGCGUGGAUAACGUACCUAAAAUACGGAUAACAUCACGGGAAAGGGGCGAUUAUCCGGUAGGAGAUCUUGAUGCACAGUGUGCGAUGGAAAGAGUCGGCGGUUGUGGAUGGAAUCGCGGCUUAUCAGCUUGUUGGUGGGGUAGUGGCUUACCAAGGCUUUGACGGGUAGCCGGCCUGAGAGGGUGACCGGCCACAUUGGGACUGAGAGACGGCCCAGACUCCUACGGGAGGCAGCAGGGGGGAAUAUUGCACAAUGGGCGGAAGCCUGAUGCAGCAACGCCGCGUGCGGGAUGACGGCCUUCGGGGUGUAAACCGCUUUCGCCUGUGACGAAGCGUGAGUGACGGUAAUGGGUAAAGAAGCACCGGCUAACUACGUG